rnacentral:lncRNA from 1 species
UGGUGGAGGGGAACUAGAUGGUUGUGGUGGUGUAGCUUGGUAUGGAGGUGGACUAGGUUGACUAUAGGUGGGAGGUGCAGUGGGUGCACUUGGUGGUGGUGGAGGCAAAUUGUUGGUUGGAGGACUAGAUUGUGGUGGCAUGGGAGAUUUGUAUGGAGGCAUGGUAGGAGGGAUAGAGGGUGAGAGCGGUGGCUGGUUAUUUGGCGGAGGUGUGGUUGGGGUACUUGAAGGUGGUGGAGGGGAACUAGAUGGUUGUGGUGGUGUAGCUUGGUAUGGAGGUGGACUAGGUUGAGUGUAGGUUGGAGGUGCAGUGGGUGCACUUGGUGAUGGUGGAGGCAAAUUGUUGGUUGGAGGACUAGAUAGUGGUGGCACGGGAGAUUUGUACGGAGGCAUGGUAGGAGGGAUAGAGGGCGAGAGUGGUGGCUGGUUAUUUGGUGGAGGUGUGGUUGGGGUACUUGAAGGUGGUGGCAGGGAACUAGAUGGUUGUGGUGGUGUAGCUUGAUGUGGAGGUGGACUAGAAUGCAAUGGAGGUGGUUGACUAUAGGUUGGAGGUGCAAUGGGUGGACUCGACGGUGGUGGUGGCAAAUUGUUGGUUGGAGGACUAGAUUGUGGUGGCAUGGUAGGAGGGCUAGAGGGCGACGGGGUUGGUUGGUGAUUUGGUGGAUAUGUUGGAGGUGUGGUUGGGGUACUUGAAGGUGGUGGAGGGGAACUAGAUUGUUGUGGUGGUGUGGCUUGGUGUGGAGGUGGACUAGGUAUCAAUGAAGGUGGUUGACUAUAAGUUGGUGGUGCAAUCGGUGGACUUGAUGGUGGUGGAGGCGAAUUGUUAGUUGGAGGCUUGGCUGGAGGACUAGAUUGUUGUGGUGGAGGAGAUUUGUGUGGAGGCAUGGUUGGAGGGCUGGAGGGCGACGAGGGUGGUUGGUUAUUUGGCGGAUAUAUCGGGGCUGUGGUUGGGGUACUUGAAGGCGGUGGAGGGAAACUGUUGCUUGGAGGCGUCACAGGAGGGCUGGACUUUGGUGGUGGAGGAUAUUGUUGUGGAGGUGUUUCUUGGGGACUUGAAGAUUGUGGAGGUGUACCUGAGGAGGAGGGAGGCCCUGAUGAGUCAUUAGACGGUGAUGGUGACUCUUGGUCAUGACCACAGUCAUCUUUCUUUGGAUGCCCGUGACCAUCACCAUGUGGGUCUGGACCUUUCCCUGGCUUUUGGCAAUGUGGGUUCUUCACUGGCCCAACCCCAUUACUGCCGUCACCUUUGUCAGUGCCUUGCUCUCCAUCACCUCCCUUAUCUCUCUGUGAGUUGUGAUCACUGCCAUCCUUGGAAUCAGAACCAUGCCCCUUGUCCCCAGACGACUUGUCGUCAUCGGCUUGGACUAUGUGAACGGUGAGGAGGAGGGUGAGAAGGAACAGAGCUACUAUCCAUCUCAUGGCGUGAGAUCGCUGGCCGCCUAGCUGCCAGCGAUUAGCAAGACAGGUUACUGCCUACUAGCUCACUGAUGGCUUGUGUUGCAUGGGCAGGGCGAUGUCUCUAUUUAUAGUGGUGUAGCACAUUGGUUAC